rnacentral:rRNA from 1 species
AUUGAACGCUGGCGGCAGGCCUAAUACAUGCAAGUCGAGCGAGCGGCGGACGGGUGAGUAAUGUAUGGGGAAUGCCCGAAAGAGGGGGAUAACUACUGGAAACGAUAGCGAAAACAGCAUACUAUCGGAGAACCCAUAUGGGAUUAGCUAGUAGGUGAGGGAAUGGCUCACCUAGGCGAGGAACCCUAGAGGGUCUGAUAGGAGGAUCAGCCACCCUGGAACUGAGACACAGCCCAGACUCCUACGGAGGCCGCAGUGGGGAAUAUUGGACCAUGGGCGCAAGCCUGAUGCAGCCAUGCCGCGUGUGUGAAGAAGGCAUUAGGGUUGUAAAGUUCUUUCGGUCGGGAGGCGUUAACGAAAGAAAAAGCAACGGCUAACUCCGUGCCAGCAGCCGCGGUAAUAC